GAUUUGUGUUUUUUCCCUAGUAUACACUUCAGGACAGACCAAAACUUGAUCAGUAUGGACAGCGCCCGACACCGGUCAAUAUAUAUUACCCGCAAUAUAGCCGAUACAAUACCAGCGAAUUCUUCCGAUAGAGUGAUGAGCUGACAUUUUCCUGUCGGCAUCGUAUCAUUUGGCUGUUUUCAGAAGACAUUUCUCAAUCAAUUUCUCAAUCUAUUUUCUUCCGUUCACGGAAUGGGUCAUUGCAAAUUUGUUUUUGGUCAAUGUAAUGUUUAAUAUGUGAAAAAUUCUUUGUCACAUUAUCCCUUCGCACGUAUAAUAUUUUGUACUUUCCAAGUUUUAUUGGGAUAAUAAAGGCAAUGCACACCAGGUCAAUCAAUAGAAAAUAGUUAAUUUUUUUAAUGUUUGGUACAAUAUUCGUUUUAAAAAAAUGACAAAGGCUUUACAUAGAAAAUGUGUUGCCAGUCUUACUUGAUCGUGUACAUUCUCCGAACAUGACUCGCCAAAAGAUUGGGAACAAUUCACAGACAGCAACAACAAUCAGGAUAAUGAAAAUGAAGGCCUAUUAUUGUUUCACAAUACAAAAUAACAGGGCCAUAUCAUCAUAAUACUAUUAUCUUAAAACCUUAUCUCUUCUCCGUCUUACUAAGUUUUUUGACAAACAUGUAAAUUGUUUGUUUUUUUUUGUUUUGUUUUGUCUUGUUUUUUUUUUUCAUAAUUUGUUUGUAAGAUUAUUUCAUAAUCAUACACGCAUUGUUAAUUAACCUCAGUAGUUAAUAUGUGCACUUUAAAUAGUGCCAUUGUCAUAGUACCAUGAACAUCAUUGCAUUCUGUCGUGUAAAUUUGGCGCUAUACAAAUCUUUGUUGAUUGAUUGAUUGAUUGAUUGAUUGAUUGAUUGAUUGAUUGAUUGAUUGAUUGAUUGAUUGAUUGAUUGAUUGUCAGCAGCAGCAGAAAAUAGGCUAUUGAGCACCACGUUUAUAAGGGAGAAAAAUGAACACUAAACAAAGAGUUUUAAACAAUAGGAAAAGAGUGAAAACAUUUUUCAACAAACAUCUGCAACAAAAUCCUUGAUUUUAUUAAAAUUUAUGUCUAUUGUGUACUAAAAGUCCCAAAUCACCCUGUACUAGUUCGUCUACUUAAAAUUGUGACACUUUAGUUCAGGCAUGUCUUCAUGAGCAUUGCAAUUAUAAUAUAUAUUAAUACAAGUACAAUACGUUUCUAUCCAUCCUAAAUGAAGAAAUUCAAGGGUUUUCUUUUUUAGUACCUAUAGGCCUAUGAUUCUGGGAUUGUAUUUUUUACCUUUUUGAGUUUUGUUAAGGAGUUAUUUUUAAAAUACUAUUUUAUGUUUUAUUUAUAAAUUGUAUUGUUAGAGGUUUUUUACAGCAAUAUGUUUAUAUACAUUUGAAAAUGGAGAGUGGACUUGGAAGUAAACUAAUAAAAUGUAUAAAUAAAUGUAUUAAUUGUGUGGAUUGCCCGAAAUUCAUCUAAGCUUGCAAGGACAUUGUUUAGAGCAUUACUUUACAUUAUACAUUGCAUCAACUCCGAUUACCAAACAGUAGCAGUGUUAUAUUUUAAACUAUGUUAAACCAUGGUUAGACAGUGAAAGAAAAAGUUGACUUAUAUAACGAUACUGCAAUCUAAUAAACUUAAAAAACAACAAGAACAACAA